rnacentral:rRNA from 1 species
AGUCGUAACAAGGUUUCCGUAGGUGAACCUGCGGAAGGAUCAUUAGUGAACAAACCCGGUGUGGUUGCUGCUGGCCCUUUGGGCAUGUGCACACCCGCCAUUUGUUUCAUCCUUCUUUCCACCUGUGCACUGCUGUGGGCUACCCAGCCAAAAGCCUCCCCUGGCAUGCGGCUGGAACAAGUGGUCCACGUUUUCUCAUCAACUCCAAUGAAUGUGUAGAGUGUAGAACAAGGUCCUUCAUGGCCUUAUAAAAUCUAAUACAACUUUCAACAACGGAUCUCUUGGCUCUCGCAUCGAUGAAGAACGCAGCGAAAUGCGAUAAGUAAUGUGAAUUGCAGAAUUCAGUGAAUCAUCGAAUCUUUGAACGCACCUUGCGCUCCUUGGUAUUCCGAGGAGCAUGCCUGUUUGAGUGUCAUUGAAUCAUCAACCCCCCCCUUUCUUUGGGGAGUCGGGGGUCUUUGGCCAUGGAGACUCCGGCCCCCAAGAGGCCAUGNUUUUCUGAAAUCCAUUACCAGUCCCUGUCAUGUCCUUCGGGCUGGGUGGGAUAGUAAUCUCCCCCGGGGGCCGUUCCCCAUUGAUUCUGCUCCCAAUCGUCCACCAUCCGGGCCACCAUUGCCAAUUUGACCUCAAAUCAGGUAGGAUUACCCGCUGAACUUAAGCAUAUCAAUAAGCGGAGGAAAAGAAACUAACAAGGAUUCCCCUAGUAACUGCGAGUGAAGCGGGAAAAGCUCAAAUUUAAAAUCUGGCGGUCUCCGGCCGUCCGAGUUGUAAACUAGAGAAGUGCUAUCCUGG